AGUGGGAUAGCUGGUUCAAAUGGUGGUUUCAUUCUAAGUAUUUUAAGGAAUCUCCAUACUCUUUUUAAGUGUGGUUGCACCAAUUGCAGUGCCACCAGCAAU
rnacentral:pre_miRNA from 1 species